AACCCAGCAGUCGCGAUGAAAAAAAUGAAACUAACGAAAACGAAAACCAGCGACACCAUCUUCUAACCUGCAAAAAUUUAUACACCACCACCCUCCAUCUCCACCACCACCACCACCACCACCACCACCCUGCGCCUCAAAACCAUUUUUCAGUUUCCUUCGACUAUUACCACGCCCUCCUCCUCCUCCCACCACCUUAAUUUCUUCAAACCUUUACAAAAACCUUUGCCGACAAUCUGAGCUCCCUCUUUUAAUUUUAUCUGAUUUUGAAAUUUUAAUGUAUCAAUUUCAAAUCAAGUUAUUUCACAAAGAAGGGGUUUCAUUAUACACAACUUACUUCACUAAUCAGAGUAGAUUCAGAUGAUUUGGACUCACACUCUGGGGUUUUAAACAUCAAACUUUUCCCAAAAAUUCCAAAUAGGUCUUAGAACGGAGGGGCAUCUUGACAAGUCCACAAUUGCAUUAGGCGUGCGUCUUUGAUUCAAAUCAAAAAGUCAUAUGGGAACUGAAGAAAAUGCAAGGAUGUUGAUGUCAAAUGGUCCCACGUCGAAGAGAUAUUGAAUUAUAGGGAUCUAUGUGCAUGAGAAAUGGAUGUCCAACUUUCAGCUCAAACUGCAGGCGCAUCGCGCGUGCGAAUUCACUAGAGAGAAAAUGUUUGGAGUAUAUUUAGCACAUUGGGUUUUGGCGCUUUCUUUGUUUUACCUCCAAGGCAGGGAUAAAUCAGAGACAUGGAAACUACUGGAACUCGCUCUGUUAAUCAGAGACAAAACAUGACUGCAGAGCAGCUGGCCAUUCAACGAGCAAUAAACCGUGAUCGACAAAGCAUCCGUAGGCAAAACAUGACAGAGGAGCAGAGGUUUACUGUACGCGAGCAUGAUCGUAUUCGACACAGAGCCGUCAAGGAAAAGCUGAACCUUCCUUCAACAUCUACAAGCAACAAUGCUGCACACCUGUUUGAGUUACACAACAAAAUGUGCAGACAGAAGUUGAAGGCUAUGUGGAAUUAGAGCCUCUAACACCUAGGUUAUACACGAAAAAUACAAAAUUACGGAACAAACGGAACGGAAGGCGCAUCGCUUGUGCGUGUUAUACUAGUAUGGAUAAACAAAUUACAAGAAUUUAUUACACAUACGCUUGAUUCUCAAAUUCAACAGCACAAUAACCUGUAUACAUUCAAUUCAUAAAUGUUGAUGUUGACAUUAUAAUAACAAAGCUAAUAC